rnacentral:rRNA from 1 species
CAUCGCCUCCUGCCCACUCAGCAUAGGAGGUCCCGCCUGCCCUGUGACCAAAAGUUUAACGGCCGCGGUAUUUUAACCGUGCAAAGGUAGCGCAAUCAAUUGUCUUUUAAAUGAAGACCUGUAUGAAUGGCAUAACGAGGGUUUAACUGUCUCUUUUUUCAGGUCAAUGAAACUGAUCUGUCCGUGCAGAAGCGGACAUACUAACACAAGACGAGAAGACCCUAUGGAGCUUUAGACGCCCACCAACCGCGAAAAGCAGCCUACCUUAACAGAUGCUCUAAACAACGCGGUCCUGGUACAAACGUCUUCGGUUGGGGCGACCGCGGAGGAGAACAAAGCCUCCGAGAGGAAUGGGAACAAACCCUAAAACCAAGAGCCACAGCUCUAAGUCACAAAAAAUUUGACCGACAAUGAUCCGGCUUACUGCCGAUCAACGGACCAAGUUACCCUAGGGAUAACAGCGCAAUCCCCUCCCAGAGUCCAUAUCGACGAGGGGGUUUACGACCUCGAUGUUGGAUCAGGACAUCCUAAUGGUGCAGCCGCUAUUAAGGGUUCGUUUGUUCAACGAUUAAAGUCCUACGUG